GAAAAAUAAAUGUCUUUUUUAAGAAAGGAGGUGAGAAUAAUAUGAAAAAGAUUUGGCCAAUUUUAAAAAUAACAUUUUAUUCUGAGAGAAUAUAUGGAAAAUAAGACAGGAAAAAUUAUAAAAUUAUUCUAUAUUAAAAAUACUUUUCAUUUAUGCUUCAUUUCCUUUCAUGACCCACCAUCUAAACAGCAGAGAGAUAAAUCAAUUAUUAAAAGUAGCUAUAUUUUAAAAAUUGCAUGAGAAGAGGAAUCAUGGGGAAUAUUUCCACUGCUCAGGCACUUUAUCUGAAGGGAGGGAGGGAGGGAGGAAGGAACCAGUCAACUAAGGUUCUUUUAGAAGUUUAGUAUAGACUAUAUUUGCCUUAAAUUGGGGUAGGAUUCUUAUCAUAAUGUGUAUUGGUGUAUACUUAGAAAUUAGUGCAUCAUUGCCUUGCACUCCAAGAGCUUCUCUGGUGAACAGGAUAUUAUUAAUAAGAACUUAGUACUGCCAGCAUUUCAUUUUUUUUCUCUGUUGCCAAUUUCUAUCCCAAGAUAUACAUCUGGAAGGUUGUGAAGAAUGAGAUCAGGGGAGAACACUCUCCUAAGGGCCACUUGGAAAACACAUGACUUGCUCAAAAGGGAAGACGGAUAAAACAAAGUUGCAAAACUGCUACAAGAGUUAAACGCAACAAGGCCACUGGCUUUCUGGAAGUGCUCAAUAAACUCUAGGCUAAGCUAUAGUGCUCAAAUGCUAGUUGUAUUUAAAGAGACUUUAAAGACUUUAAAGGUUGUAAUAAUGGUAAAUGGUAUUUUAUCCCAAUCAUAGCACUAUCAGUAAUGACUAAACCUCACAGUCGCUUCAAUAGUGAAAUGAGUAAAAUAUAAAUUUAAUAAAAUAAAUAACCAAAGCAUAAGCCCACACCUUUGGAAAGUUCAUAUAAAGAAGACAUUGGGGAGAAUUCAUAGACAAACUGAUAUAGGCAGUUUUAUUGUGUUGAACAGUAAUGCAAGUUAUUUUGUUACAUAGGCAUACCAACCCUUGAAGGAGCCUUAUAGCCUGAAAAGAAAUGAGUGAGCUAAAUCUUCACAUAGUAAGGAACAUUUGAAAAAUUUAACAGCAUCCUGCACUCCAGAGAAAACAUUACAAGAUAACAGGCCCUAUGCUUGCUUCAGGCUAUUUUAUAACAUUUGUGAAGUAACAGCAGAAAGCAGCCUGUCCUGAGAGGACAUUCUAAAAAGAAGGGAGAACAUUCAGUGUAGCUUUCUAGAAACAGCUUAGACAGAAUAUUGUCAAAGCUAAAACACAAUUUUUUUUCUUUCAAUUCAUGGUAACUCACUUUGCAUUUUUAUAAUUUUAAAAGGGUAAGAAAAACUAGGAGUAGAUGAAAUAAAACUGAUGGAAUGGGAAGAACUCUAAUGCAGCCUAAAGUUCCACCACAAAAUAAAAUCAAUGAAAACAAUUAUUACUGCACUAACUCAAACAGUAGCACUUGAUGUUUCCUUCUUCAAUAUUGCUCAAAACACGUUACAGUAUUCAUUUUUGCAGUGAAAUAAGCAACUUUGUUCAAUACCCAAGACUCAAGAACAAUGUGGGAAUAAAUUCAUUUGGUGGACAGACUAGGCACAGUCUUGUCUACUUUUUCUACAAGGAAAAGAAUUCUUGCUGCACCAUCUUGCUGUUCUGUAUGUACAAAAAGAAGCAAAAUAUCAUGAAUAUGUUUCCUAGCUGAAA